GCCGUUGCUUUUGGUCUUCGUGGGCUUCCGGUGAAGUUGAUUAAAGGGGAGUUGAUUUUGGCUCAUGUUUGUAGUGUUUUGAUUGUGGAAGGGACAGCUGAAGUCUUAUCUAGCUGGUGGAAAGUGAUAAGAUGUGAGUGGUGGUAAUGCUUCCGUUUAGUCUCGUUGUGUCUUUGGGAUUUCUGGGUACAUUCUGUAGAAUAAGCCUUUUAGUUCAUGGAGUCUUGGUAUGUAUAAACUAUAAAGUGGUGGUGGUGGUGGUGGGGCAUUUCAUGUUAUUGGAGUGGAGGAAAUUUUCAUUAGAAAUUUGAAAACAGAGCACCUGUUCCAGUUUUCUUUCUGCUGUUCUGGGAUUCCGUUUCUGCUCAUAUUUUGUUUAUCUGGCACUUCGUUCAAGAAAUAUGGGAGUUUUAUAAGGUUUUUGUAAAUGGGAUUUGGUUCAUUGACUUGGUCUUUGGUUCAAAGUCUUUCUUGUUGCAUGCUUUCUAAAAGGAUUGCUUCUAGGAAUGUUAGUCUUUAUGAGAACACACUGAACAAAGAUUAGUUUUUUAAAGAAAAGGGCUUGAGUGCAAAUGCAUUUUUCAGGUAAUCCAGAUUACAAACAUGCAACUUGAAAGGCGUUUACGGAUCUAGCAAGUUAUUCUUUGAAUCCUAUUAGAGAGUCCUCUUGAUACCGCUGUUCUAAAGCAAGGUUAUUUUGGUUGUGGAUAUGAUAUAUAGAGGAUUGACUUGACAAUAACAAAAAGAAAAAAAAAAACACAGAAACUCUUCGGGCCCUCUGGGAUGGCAAUUUUGAUGCUACGGGUUGUCUCCAGUAGAUACCUCAGCUAGCCUCGGGUGGUUCGAGGCAAUUCGAGAAGGUCAACUUUCAGGCAGUUCAAGGCCUGUUGGAAAGGUUCUGAUCCAAGUUAUGAUUGGAGGCGGCAGAGGAAGAGGCGCAGAUGGAGUUUGUGCGCACUGUAUACCGAUUCAAAGUAUGCAUGCAUGCGUGGUGUUUGAGCCUGAGAAGAACCGCAAUUUCCCAAUAUUGUCGAGUUUAGUAGCAAACCCGGCAGGCGAGGUUGCGAUAUCUUCAGAGCAGAAGGUUUAUGAUGUGGUGCUGAAGCAGGCGGCAUUGGUAGGAAGCAGUUGAGACCGGAUAUGGCGCUCGACGUGAAACCAGACAUGGCUAUUCCAGGAGCUACAACCUUGUUGAACGAGGCUUAUGAUCGUUGUGGAGAAGUUUGCGCAGAGUAUGCCAAGAUCUUUUACCUUGGAACGCUGCUCAUGACCCCUGAAAGGAUAUGAGAGCUAUCUGGGCAAUAUAUGGUAAUGGAUCGAAAUAAUUACCAGUAUAUGUAGUUUCCAUUUGUCAGAUUUCAAUCAAUGAGUCUGAAAUUAUGUUGAGAGCU